rnacentral:rRNA from 1 species
GACUGGGGCGGUCGCCUCCUAAAAAGUAACGGAGGUGUGCAUAUAGCUAAAAGCAGCACUUUUACAGUGUUUGGUAUCAUAAUAGAUUUUUUUAGCUUGAUUAAUUUACUUACAAGUAAAUUAAGGAUAAUAAUUUAUUGUCUGCUAUAAUGACCCGGUAUACGUGCAAGAAAAGUAUAUCGAUUAACGAAUAAAAGGUACGCUAGGGAUAACAGGCUUAUGAAUUCUGAGAGUUCUUAUUGAUGAAUUCGUUUGGCACCUCGAUGUCGGCUCGUCACAUCCUGGUGGUGGAUAAUCUUCCAAGGGUUCGGCUGUUCGCCGAUUAAAGUGGUACGUGAGCUGGGUUUAGAACGUCGUGAGACAGUUUGGUCCCUAUCUGCUGUAUAAAAUAAAAAAUUAACGAACUCUUACAUCAGUACGAGAGGACCAGAACGGGGCAAUCACUGAUAUAUAGGUUACUUAGUCAAGUAUUGCCGAAAAGUUACAUUGCAACAAGUUAA